UACUAUUGAACGAAAGGGAUGAUGGGUGGACAAUGGAUAACUAACCUAAUUUUUAACAUUUGAAAUAGUAUAUUUCAGAUAAUAAAACUUAGGAUUAGUCUGCCCAUUUUUCCAUAUACUAAAUAGCUGCGAUACUAAAUAGCUUAUUUGCGUACGGCAAAAAUGCGAUUUGACUAAUCCUUCCAAAAUUAUUUGGGAGGAUUUUUUA
rfam:Aneurinibacillus migulanus strain DSM 2895 super7, whole genome shotgun sequence.